AAAUUAGGUUUGGGUUUUAAAGAAAAACUCCAUAGUUUUUUUAUACUUUUACUAAAAAAGAAAAAAAGUAGAAAAUCAAGUUUAAUUAAUAAUUAAAAAUUAUUGAAAAUUAUGGAAAUUUUCUAGCUAAGUUUGUGCCAGCAGCAGCGGUUAGACAAACAGAACAUUUCUUUUUAUAAUUAAAUUUAAAUAAUUUUUAAAAUUUUUAUGGAAAAUAAAGGUGAAAUUUAUUUUCUUUUCUUUAGUGAAUUAAAAUUUUAAUUCUUUAUUAAACUAGGAUUAGAUACCCUAUUAUUUAGAGCUAAACGUUGUAAGUAAAUAUAAAUUAUGAAAGCAAAAAACUAUGGCGGUACCUUAAGCUUUUCAGAGGAAUUUGCUCUUUAAUGGAUAAAACACCUUAAUCUUACUUAAAUUGGUUAAAACAGUUUGUAUACCACUAUAAAAAUAGUAAUAUGUAAUUAUUAUUAAAAUUCAAUUUUUUGAAAAAAAUUAAGUCAAGGUGCAGCAAAAAUUUAAGAAUGAAGUGAAUUACAAUGCUUCUAAGAAAGAAAAAUUGAAAUUAAUUAUAGGAUUUGAAAGUAAAAUUAAAAUAGAAAGUUAAUUUAAAUUAAGCUCUAAGAUAUGUACAUAUCGCCCGUCACUCUUUUUAAAGAUAAGUCGUAACAAAGUUAAAAUACUGGAAAGUGUUUU
rnacentral:ncRNA from 1 species